rnacentral:ribozyme from 1 species
AAAAAGAAAGAAAGAAAGAAGAAGAAGAAGAAGAAAAAAAGAACUGAAACCGAUUUCUUGUUCUUUUUUUUUUUUUUUUUUUUUUUUA